rnacentral:rRNA from 1 species
AACGAACGCUGGCGGCAGGCCUAACACAUGCAAGUCGAGCGGACCCUUCGGGGUUAGCGGCGGACGGGUGAGUAACGCGUGGGAAUAUGCCCUUCUCUACGGAAUAGUCCUGGGAAACUGGGGGUAAUACCGUAUACGCCCUUUGGGGGAAAGAUUUAUCGGGGAAGGAUUAGCCCGCGUUGGAUUAGGUAGUUGGUGGGGUAAUGGCCUACCAAGCCGACGAUCCAUAGCUGGUUUGAGAGGAUGAUCAGCCACACUGGGACUGAGACACGGCCCAGACUCCUACGGGAGGCAGCAGUGGGGAAUCUUAGACAAUGGGGGCAACCCUGAUCUAGCCAUGCUGCGUGAGUGAUGAAGGCCUUAGGGUUGUAAAGCUCUUUCAGCUGGGAAGAUAAUGACGGUACCAGCAGAAGAAGCCCCGGCUAACUCCGUG